ACUCAACCGCAAACGUAAUAGGCGCGAGUGCUUCCCUCAAAUUCUCACUCCCACUCUCUCUCUCUCUCUCCUUCUUCCCUCUCCCAACACCUUCUCUUCUCUUCACUUCUCUUUUCUUCUCCAGGUGAUCAUUCUCUCUCCUCUCUUCGCAUCUCUUUCUCUCUCCUCACUGUUCUUCUUCAACAAUCUUUUUUACACAAUUAUUCACACUUCUUCUACUAAUCUACUCUCAUCACUUUCUCUCUCCUCCUAAAUGUUUUUUCUUUCUAUCCAAAUUCUCCUGAAAUUCAGCUAACCUGUCGAAGAUUUUCUGCAUUUUCACCGCUUUUAAGUGUACUACUCUUCCAACAAUGGUGGGCUUUGGGAAAAAGCUAAAAACAAAUCAAAUUGAAGAAUGGCAAGGGUACUAUAUAAACUACAAGAUUCUGAAGAAGAAGGUCAAUCAAUAUACUCGACAAAUUGAGAACGGAUCAGGAGAUCAUCUUAUUGUUCUGAAGGAUUUUUCUGUUAUGCUCGAUAAUCAGCUUGAGAAGAUUGUCUUGUUCAUACUAGAGCAACAAGGUUUACUUGCAAAGAGAUUGUCUGAUCUCAGGGAACAGCAGGACACUGCUUUUCAGCAGAGAAGCAUUCUUGAUGUGUCUCAAGUACGAGAAACAUAUCGCGCAGUGGGACGAGAUCUUUUGAGGCUGCUCUAUUUUGUUGAAAUGAAUGCUAUAGGUCUGCGAAAGAUCUUGAAAAAAUUUGAUAAACGCUUGGGCUAUGGAUUCACCAAGUAUUAUGUCAAAACUCGUGCUAAUCAUCCCUAUUCACAGCUGCAACAAAUAUUCAAGCAUGUGGGAUUCGGGGCGGUUGUGGGAGCCAUAUCUCGCAACCUUGCAGAUCUUCAGGACCACCAAGAAAGCUACGUAUCGAUAUAUGAUCAACCGGUUCUUCAUCUCCAGGAUCCCGUUGUCACUUCUAUCCGGACAGCUGUAGAUAGACUGACAAAUUCAACAAAUUUUCUUCAUUUCAUGGGGAAACAUGCGUUGAUAUUGCAAGAAGAUUUACCAAGUCCAUCUCAGGAUGAUGUUGAUGAUCAGGGAUUUGAUUUGAUGUCCCUUAUGUUAAACUUGACUAACACAUUCCUAUACAUGGUCAAUACAUAUAUUAUUGUCCCCACAGCCGAUAGUUAUUCUCUAAGCCUUGGUGCUGCAGCAACUGUUUGUGGAGCUGUGAUUGGAUCAAUGGCUGUUGCCCAGAUGUUCUCUUCUGUUUACUUUAGUGCAUGGUCAAAUAAAUCAUAUCAGAAGCCCCUCAUUUUUAGCAGCGUUGUUCUCCUAAUUGGAAAUGUCUUGUAUGCACUGGCGUAUGACUUUAACUCGAUAUCAGUACUUCUCAUUGGCCGCAUCUUCUGCGGGUUGGGUUCUGCUAGGGCCGUUAAUAGGCGUUACAUUAGUGAUUGUGUGCCGCCAAAGAUGCGGAUGAAGGCAUCUGCGGGUUUUGUUACUGCCAGUGCACUUGGAAUGGCUUGUGGUCCUGCUCUUGCUUGUUUAUUUCAAACCAAAUUCAGAUUGUACAAACUAACAUUCAAUGAUGACACUUUACCUGGAUGGUUUAUGGCACUGGCAUGGCUUUUUUACUCUCUUGGCUUUGCAUUUCAUUUAAAGAGCCUCCUAAGCCUGAAUGCAACAUUAUUCCUCAGGAAUCAAACCGUGGACAAAAGACACAAAACGUGGUGGAGAAUGAUUUGGAGAAACCAUUGAUUGUGAGCUCAGAGCAAAAACAACAGGAUGAUGACGACGAAGAUGAUCAAGAGUUUGACGGAAACAAUGAAGAUUCGGAAGAAAAUCAUAAACCUGCCACCUCAAUUCUUGCUGCUUAUAGACUGCUGACGCCAUCUAUCAAGGUACAAUUACUGAUAUAUUUCAUGCUCAAGUAUGCAAUGGAGAUUCUACUAGCAGAGUCAAGUGUCAUUACAGGAUACUACUUUCGGUGGUCUACCCGGUCUGUGGCGCUUUUUCUUGCAUGUCUUGGGGCAACAGUUCUCCCGGUCAAUGUUUUAGUUGGAAACUACAUCAGCAACAUGUUUGAGGAAAGGCAAGUGCUAUUGACGUCUGAGGUUAUUGUUUUCAUAGGCAUUGUCCUGAGCUUCCAGGUUGGAGUGUCAUAUUCAGUUCCGCAGUACGUCAUUUCAGCACUCAUCACAUUUGUAGCUGCUGAAGUACUUGAAGGUGUUAAUCUAUCGCUUUUAUCUCGAGUCAUGUCAUCUAGGCUUUCCCGUGGGACCUACAAUGGCGGACUGCUUUCUACAGAAGCAGGGACCCUGGCUCGAGUAGUUGCUGAUGGUACGAUAACUCUGGCUGGGUUAUGGGGUGAAAGCACGCUUUUAAAUACUACUCUGCUUCCUUCACUUCUGAUUUGUAUCACCUCAAUAGUAGGCACUUGCUUCACUUAUAAUUCCAUGUACUGAUUUUCUCAAGAAAUAAGCUCAACAUCCCCAUAUAUAUGCUAGGAAAUUGUACAGCAUAUGCAUAUAGGAAAACUAAGAGUUCAUGAUCAUGUUCGAUCAGAUGGUCAAAGCUUGUGCCGAGCUUCAAAAUUUUGAUUAUGGUUCUCUUAAACAAGAGGGAAGCAACCUUCUACAGUCUACUAUACAAUUACUUUUGCUGUUGCUUAGUGAUGACAGUAAGACCGCGCUCACGAUCAACCAGUGAAAUCCUGCAGCAGUAUAUUUUCAGUGCUCAGUAUAGUUUUAUGUUUCUCAGUCAUCUUUCUGUACGCUCUAGAGCGUUUUUAUGCUCUAAGAGUCUUAAGUGUUACAUGCUAGACGAGCAAACAACGCAGUGGGGAUAAAAGUAUUAACAAGGAGAAAAUAAUACAAGUUUGCUCGGUGAAAACAUUAUGUUA